GAUGAACGCUGGCGGCGUGCCUAAUACAUGCAAGUCGAGCGAACGGACGAGAAGCUUGCUUCUCUGAUGUUAGCGGCGGACGGGUGAGUAACACGUGGAUAACCUACCUAUAAGACUGGGAUAACUUCGGGAAACCGGAGCUAAUACCGGAUGAUAUUUUGAACCGCAUGGUUCAAAAGUGAAAGACGGUCUUGCUGUCACUUAUAGAUGGAUCCGCGCUGCAUUAGCUAGUUGGUAAGGUAACGGCUUACCAAGGCAACGAUGCAUAGCCGACCUGAGAGGGUGAUCGGCCACACUGGAACUGAGACACGGUCCAGACUCCUACGGGAGGCAGCGUAGGGAAUCUUCCGCAAUGGGCGAAAGCCUGACGGAGCAACGCCGCGUGAGUGAUGAAGGUCUUCGGAUCGUAAAACUCUGUUAUUAGGGAAGAACAUAUGUGUAAGUAACUGUGCACAUCUUGACGGUACCUAAUCAGAAAGCCGCGGCUAACUACGUG
rnacentral:rRNA from 1 species